rnacentral:lncRNA from 1 species
CUGUUUCGUAUUUUUAUUUAUUUAUCUGAUUCCACUGAACCUUCUCUGUUUUCGAUUCUAUAUUACGUUUUUUUGUUUAUUUAUUGAUUGUUUGUUUGACUUUACUAAGAUACUUGUAUGAAUCGUUUUUAUUUUUCCCUUCGAGCUUAAUCACAAGAAGAUGGGGGAUAUAUGUCAAAGAGACAGCAACCAAUCGUUGACCGAC